GAUGAACGCUGACGAAUGCUUAACACAUGCAAGUCAACUUGAAUUUGGGUUUUUAACUUAAGUUUGGGUGGCGGACGGGUGAGUAACGCGUAAAGAACUUGCCUCACAGCUAGGGACAACAUUUGGAAACGAAUGCUAAUACCUAAUAUUAUGAUAAUAGGGCAUCCUAUAAUUAUGAAAGCUAUAAGCGCUGUGAGAGAGCUUUGCGUCCCAUUAGCUAGUUGGAGAGGUAACUGCUCACCAAGGCGAUGAUGGGUAGCCGGCCUGAGAGGGUGAUCGGCCACAAGGGGACUGAGACACGGCCCUUACUCCUACUGGAGGCAGCAGUGGGGAAUAUUGGACAAUGGACCAAGAGUCUGAUCCAGCAAUUCUGUGUGCACGAUGAAUUUUUUCGGAAUGUAAAGUGCUUUCUGUUGGGAAGAAAGAAUUGACGGUACCAACAGAAUAAUUGACGGCUUAAUACUUGCCAGCAGCCGCGGUAAUACGUAUGUCACUAGCGUUAUCCGUAUUUAUUGGGCGUAAAUGCUCGUCUAUGUGGUUAUAUAAGUCUGAUGUGAAAUUGCAUGGCUCAACUCUGUAUUGCUGUUGGAAACUGUAUAACUAUGAGUACUGGAUAGUUUAGCGGAACUACAAGUGUUGAGGUGAAUUCGGUGAUUUUUGUAUGGAAUGCCUGAGGGUGUAGUCAGCUUACUGGACUGAUCUACUCUGAAGCGCUGUAGCUUGUGUAGCUACCAUGAUGAGAUACCUGAUUGUCAGUGUGUGACUCCCCGUGGAUGUUGUGGUUAGCUGUUUCGUCUACUCGUGGGUUGUGCCCUAUAACUAGUUUUUUACUCUUUAAUGAUGUUUUACUC
rnacentral:rRNA from 1 species